AUGUACUCAUAAUUCUGAUGAGGAUGCUGCUUGUCCUGCCUAUGAUGCUAACGUGGCCCAAAGAUCUACUGGUGGUUCGUCCCAUUGGAAACCCCCUUGACACUCCACGGCCAACAAGUGCUUCAAGGGCACGUCAUGUGAGUGGGUUAGUACCACAGAGCAGCUGAUCCUUUGUGAUGAGAGUGUGAUGCCAGCUAAAUCAGAUGACUGAUUUUUCUCCUGGAAGUGGGACAGAACAGACCAAUCAGCAAGCACUUCAACUUCCUCAGGAAACAGGAGCAAGCAUCCUAUGACCUUGAAUAGCCACCUAAGACUCUGACUCAGCCCUGGAAUCUGAGUGAUGUCAUGAUAAGUAGCCAGGGGACAGCCCUAAACACCUGGGUGCUCCACUCCAUGGAGUCCUGGCUUGCUCAGUUGUCAAUUGGGGCUUUGGAUAUAAAGUUGACUCCAUCUGCAAAUGUGAUGGGGUGAGGAAGAGGGCGCAGCCAACUUCCCAAGGCACCUGGAGGCUCUUAGGAACUAAUCUGCUCACACCGCUGCUUUCAAACUCUAAUCCCACAUUCACACUAAACUGUCUUGUAACUUGGUGGGUAGCUCAGUAUAUUCCAGGCCCCCUAUCAAGUGGUAAAUACUGGAUUACCCUUAGACAGAGUAACCAAAAGAACACACAGUUCCUCGAAUCAAGAAACUGAGACUGGAAUGGACUCAAUUUCCUUUCUUUUAUAACUAAACAUUUUAGUUAGCAUACAAAACAAUGGGUUUUGUUAUGAUAUUUUCAUAUGAAAAUAAUUUAUGAUUCAUAUUCAUCCCCCAACCCAGUUCUUAAUACAUAUGUAACAUACUAUUUGCCAACUACUGAAUAGGUCCUGAGCCACAUAACUUUAAGGCCUUUCCUAAUCAUCAAUCUGACCCUGAGUAAAUUUACCUCACCAUUUCAAAUAUUACAUACAAUUUAAACAUUGUAGGUUGCUGUCAUAUCUAAUGCCAAACCCAAUUUCUCUUAAAGUCAAAUCUCUAUCUCCACUGCCAACAUAUAAAUUAAGCGCUCUACCACUGAGCUAAAUCCCCAAGCCAUCCUUAGCCCUUCUUUUUAAAAAAUUAUUAUUUUUGUGAUUGUGUAUCUAUGUAUGCUUCUGUGUGCGUUUAUACACAUGAGUGCAGGUGUCCACAGAGGCCGAAGGCCUUGGAUUCCCCAGGAGCUGGAGUUACAAAUGGUUAUGAGCCUCCUGACAUGGCUACUAGACGUAGAGCUUGUGUCUUUUGCAAAAGCAGUGUGAUUCUUAACCACUGAGCCAUCUCUCCAGCCCUAUCCUUGACAGUUCUUAAAAUUCCAAAUACUUAAAACCAAAUAUCUGGGGGCCAGCAAGAUGGCUCAGGAGGUAGAGGCACUUAUCACCAGGCCUGACAAACUGAGUCCAAUCCCUGGGACCCAUAUGGAAGGAGAGAACUAAGUAUUUGGGGGUUGUCCUUUGACCUCCACACCCUGCUGUGACACAUCUGUGCUCUCCUACACCACGCAUUAAGUAAAAUCAAUCAAUCAAUCAAACAAAAACCAAAUACUGAGCCUUCUUCCCCUCCUACCAGCUCUACCCACAAUCUCAUCUGAAACGAUGAAAACUUGCUCACCUUCCGUCCACAACGAGGGUGUUCAACACCAACAUGGUUCUUGGAGCUAGGAACUCCAAACUCCACUGCUCACAUCCCUUUCUGUACUUCUGCUCCAUCCAGUUAGUGGCCAGUGCCGGCUCGCUGGUGCACACACCAGACUCUUGAAUGGAUCCCCACUGCUGAUGGAUGGCCAUCUUACCUUCUCAAGUCUGGACCUCUGUUUCCAUCCUUUACAAUGACAUACAGU